CUUGUGUGUCCAAUCACACUUGGCCAAUAAAAAUUCUAUUCUAUUCAUGGAUAGAUGGAGAAGGAUUUCCUACUUAAUGUUGGCUUCGAAACAUUUGGUCCUUUCUUCUGCUUAAAGGGAAUGGAACGGAAGAAGACCAGAGAUGUCAAGCACAGGUUUGGAUUACUGCAAUGGACUCUACAUGGGACUUUCCUUGAUGACUGUCUGAAGCCAUAACUGAUCCAGAAUGAGGCAGCCUAUUCAUUUAUGGAUGCCCUAGGUUUAUCCAUGCAAAAUAUCUGUUGUUCAGCCCAUAUCAUAGUACAGAUUGCCAGCUUCUUCUUAGUCAAUUCUCUGUCUUGGAUGCCAUUUAGCAACUUGUCUCUACUGAAUUCAGCACUUAUAGCUACACAAGAAGCUUAAUCUCCCUGUAAGCUAAGAAUGAUAGCUAGCUGAUCUCUGGUUAUGAAAACACAAUGGAGGA